rnacentral:rRNA from 1 species
AUGAACGCUGGCGGCGUGCCUAAUACAUGCAAGUCGAGCGAACAGACGAGGAGCUUGCUCCUUUGACGUUAGCGGCGGACGGGUGAGUAACACGUGGAUAACCUACCUAUAAGACUGGGAUAACUUCGGGAAACCGGAGCUAAUACCGGAUAAUAUAUUGAACCGCAUGGUUCAAUAGUGAAAGACGGUUUUGCUGUCACUUAUAGAUGGAUCCGCGCCGCAUUAGCUAGUUGGUAAGGUAACGGCUUACCAAGGCAACGAUGCGUAGCCGACCUGAGAGGGUGAUCGGCCACACUGGAACUGAGACACGGUCCAGACUCCUACGGGAGGCAGCAGUAGGGAAUCUUCCGCAAUGGGCGAAAGCCUGACGGAGCAACGCCGCGUGAGUGAUGAAGGUCUUCGGAUCGUAAAACUCUGUUAUUAGGGAAGAACAAAUGUGUAAGUAACUAUGCACGUCUUGACGGUACCUAAUCAGAAAGCCACGGCUAACUACGUG